AAAGAAAGUAAGCAAGGGCGCAUGGCGGAUGCCUUGGCUCUCGGAGGCGAUGAAGGACGUGAUAAGCUGCGAUAAGCUUCGGGCAGGUGCAAAUAACCUUUGAUCCGAAGAUUUCCGAAUGGGACAACCCGUCAUUCUGAAGGAAUGACAUCUUGCAUAGCAAGAGGCUAACGCAGGGAACUGAAACAUCUUAGUACCUGUAGGAAAAGAAAAUAAUAAUGAUUCCCCUAGUAGUGGCGAGCGAACGGGGAUUAGCCCAAACCAAUGUUGUUACGGCAAUAUUGGGGUUGUAGGACCACGAUGUCGCAAGAAGUUUAGUGAGAAGAACCCUUUGGAAAAUGGGACCAUAGACGGUGAUAGUCCGGUAUUCGAAGCUAAAUGAAGCGUAGUGGUAUCCUGAGUAGCGCGGGACACGAGGAAUCUUGCGUGAAUCUGCCGGGACCAUCCGGUAAGGCUAAAUACUCCCGAGAGACCGAUAGCGAACCAGUACUGUGAAGGAAAGGUGAAAAGCACUUCGAAUAGAAGAGUGAAAUAGUCCCUGAAACCGUGCGCCUACAAGCGGUCGGAGCUGCUUCAGCAGUGACGGCGUGCCUUUUGCAUAAUGAACCUACGAGUUACUUUUUCCGGCAAGGUUAAGGAUCUUGAGAUCCGCAGCCGAAGCGAAAGCGAGUCUUAAUAGGGCGAUUAGUCGGAAGGAGUAGACGCGAAACCAAGUGAUCUACCCUUGGUCAGGUUGAAGGUUAGGUAACACUAACUGGAGGACCGAACCGAUAAGCGUUGAAAAGCUUCCGGAUGAACUGAGGGUGGGGGUGAAAGGCUAAUCAAACUUGGAGAUAGCUCGUACUCCCCGAAAUGCAUUUAGGUGCAGCCUUGGGAAUUACUACUGUGAGGUAGAGCGACUGAUAAGAUGCGAGGGCUUCACCGCCUAUCAAGUCUUGAUAAACUCCGAAUGCGCAGUAGUUCGAUCCCAGGAGUGAGGGCAUGGGUGCUAAGGUCCAUGUCCUAAAGGAGAAGAAUCCAGACCAUCAGCUAAGGUCCCGAAAUAAUUGCUAAGUUGAACUAACGAAGUCAGAUUGCUAAGACAGCUAGGAUGUUGGCUUGGAAGCAGCCAUUCAUUUAAAGAGUGCGUAACAGCUCACUAGUCGAGGAGUUUGGCGUGGAUAAUAAUCGGGCAUUAAGCAAUUUACCGAAGCUAUGGGAUGUUAACUAAACACUAACAUCGGUAGGGGAGCAUUCCACUCUGCGUCGAAGGUGAAGCGUGAGCUUUGCUGGAGCGUGUGGAAAAGCAAAUGUAGGUAUAAGUAACGAUAAAGGGGGUGAGAAACCCCCUCGCCGAAAGACUAAGGUUUCCUGAUCAACGCUAAUCGGAUCAGGGUUAGUCGGGUCCUAAGGCUCAGCCGAACGGUGAGGCCGAUGGCAGAACAGGUUAAUAUUCCUGUACUACCUUAAGGAGUGACGUGGAGANGGUGCUAAGGUCCAUGUCCUAAAGGAGAAGAAUCCAGACCAUCAGCUAAGGUCCCGAAAUAAUUGCUAAGUUGAACUAACGAAGUCAGAUUGCUAAGACAGCUAGGAUGUUGGCUUGGAAGCAGCCAUUCAUUUAAAGAGUGCGUAACAGCUCACUAGUCGAGGAGUUUGGCGUGGAUAAUAAUCGGGCAUUAAGCAAUUUACCGAAGCUAUGGGAUGUUAACUAAACACUAACAUCGGUAGGGGAGCAUUCCACUCUGCGUCGAAGGUGAAGCGUGAGCUUUGCUGGAGCGUGUGGAAAAGCAAAUGUAGGUAUAAGUAACGAUAAAGGGGGUGAGAAACCCCCUCGCCGAAAGACUAAGGUUUCCUGAUCAACGCUAAUCGGAUCAGGGUUAGUCGGGUCCUAAGGCUCAGCCGAACGGUGAGGCCGAUGGCAGAACAGGUUAANUUCACCGCCUAUCAAGUCUUGAUAAACUCCGAAUGCGCAGUAGUUCGAUCCCAGGAGUGAGGGCAUGGGUGCUAAGGUCCAUGUCCUAAAGGAGAAGAAUCCAGACCAUCAGCUAAGGUCCCGAAAUAAUUGCUAAGUUGAACUAACGAAGUCAGAUUGCUAAGACAGCUAGGAUGUUGGCUUGGAAGCAGCCAUUCAUUUAAAGAGUGCGUAACAGCUCACUAGUCGAGGAGUUUGGCGUGGAUAAUAAUCGGGCAUUAAGCAAUUUACCGAAGCUAUGGGAUGUUAACUAAACACUAACAUCGGUAGGGGAGCAUUCCACUCUGCGUCGAAGGUGAAGCGUGAGCUUUGCUGGAGCGUGUGGAAAAGCAAAUGUAGGUAUAAGUAACGAUAAAGGGGGUGAGAAACCCCCUCGCCGAAAGACUAAGGUUUCCUGAUCAACGCUAAUCGGAUCAGGGUUAGUCGGGUCCUAAGGCUCAGCCGAACGGUGAGGCCGAUGGCAGAACAGGUUAAUAUUCCUGUACUACCUUAAGGAGUGACGUGGAGACGGAGGAGUGACAACGCCGCGGACUGACGGAAUAGUCCGUU
rnacentral:rRNA from 1 species